rnacentral:rRNA from 1 species
AUUGAACGCUGGCGGCAGGCCUAACACAUGCAAGUCGAGCGAGCGGCGGACGGGUGAGUACUGUCUGGGACACUGCCUGAUGGAGGGGGAUAACUACUGGAAACGGUAGCUAAUCCCGCAUACCAUCAGAUGUUCCCCGAUGGGAUUAGCUAGUGGGGGGGGUAACGGCUCACCUAGGCGACGAUCCCUAGCUGGUCUGAGAGGAUGACCAGCCACACUGGAACUGAGACACGGUCCAGACUCCUACGGGAGGCAGCAGGGGGGAAUAUUGCACAAUGGGCGGAAGCCUGAUGCAGCCAUGCCGCGUGUGUGAAGAAGGUCUUCGGGUUGUAAAGCACUUGCAGCGGGGAGGCGUUACCAGAAGAAGAAGCACCGGCUAACUCCGUGCCAGCAGCCGCGGUAAUUC